rnacentral:rRNA from 1 species
UACGUAGGGGGCAAGCGUUGUCCGGAAUCAUUGGGCGUAAAGCGCGUGUAGGCGGCUCGGUAAGUCUGCUGUGAAAGUCCAGGGCUCAACCCUGGGAUGCCGGUGGAUACUGUCGAGCUCGAGUCCGGAAGAGGCGAGUGGAAUUCCUGGUGUAGCGGUGAAAUGCGCAGAUAUCAGGAAGAACACCCGUGGCGAAGGCGGCUCUCUGGGACGGUACCGACGCUGAGACGCGAAAGCGUGGGGAGCGAACAGG